GAAAUGCGAUAAGUAAUGUGAAUUGCAGAAUUCAGUGAAUCAUCGAAUCUUUGAACGCACAUUGCGCCCGCCAGUACUCUGGCGGGCAUGCCUGUUCGAGCGUCAUUUCAACCAUCAAGCCCCCGGCUUGUGUUGGGGACCUGCGGCUGCCCGCAGGCCCUGAAAAACAGUGGCGGGCUCGCUGUCACACCGAGCGUAGUAGCAUACAUUCUCGCUCAGGGCGUGCUGCGGGUUCCGGCCGUUAAACGACCUUCAUAACCCAAGGUUGACCUCGGAUCAGGUAGGAAGACCCGCUGAACUUAAUC
rnacentral:misc_RNA from 1 species